UACGGGGGGAGCAAGCGUUGUUCGGAUUCACUGGGCGUAAAGGGUGCGUAGGUGGCGAGGUAAGUCGGAUGUGAAAGCUCGGAGCUCAACUCCGAAAUGGCAUUGGAAACUACCUUGCUCGAGGGUUGGAGGGGGGACUGGAAUACUUGGUGUAGCAGUGAAAUGCGUAGAUAUCUGGAGGAACACCGGUGGCGAAGGCGGCAUCCUGGACCGGUAUUGACGCUGAGGCGCGAAAGCCAGGGGAGCAAACGGG
rnacentral:rRNA from 1 species